ACAAAGGCUCUUUUCAGAGCCACCCACGCUCUCCGGAAAAGAGCCU
rfam:Chlamydotis undulata macqueenii contig19642, whole genome shotgun sequence.